AUGCUCAAAAUUCUCCAAGCCAGUCUUCGGCAAUACGUGAACCGUGAACUCCCAGAUGUCCAAGCUGGUUUUAGAAAAGGCAGAGGAACUGGAGAUCAAACUGCCAACAUCCGCUGGAUCAUCGAAAAAGCAAGAGAGUUCCAGAAAUAUAUCUAUUUCUGCUUUAUUGACUAUGCCAAAGCCUUUGACUAUGUGGAUCACAAUAAACUAUGGGAAAUUCUGAAAGAGAUGAGAAUACCAGACCACCUGACCUGCCUCUUGAGAAACCUGUAUACAGGUCAGGAAGCAACAGGUAGAACUGGACAUGGAACAAGAGACUGGUUCCAAAUAGGAAAAGGAGUACAUCAAGGCUGUAUAUUGUCACCCUGCUUAUUUAACUUAUAUGCAGAGUACAUCAUGAGAAACACUGGGCUAGAAGAAGCACAAGCUAGAAUCAAGAUUUCUGGGAGAAAUAUCAAUAACCUGAGAUAUGCAGAAAGUGAAGAGGAACUAAAAAACCUCUUGAUGAAAGUAAAAGAAGUGAGUGAAAAAUUUGGCUUAAAGCUCAACAUUCAGAAAACUAAGAUCAUGGCAUCUGGUCCCAUCACUUCAUGGGAAAUAGAUGGGGAAACAGUGGAAACAGUGUCAGACUUUAUUUUGGGGGGCUCCAAAAUCACUGCAGAUGGUGAUUGCAGCCAUGAAAUUAAAAGACACUUACUCCUUGGAAGGAAAGUUAUCACCAACCUAGAUAGCAUAUUAAGAAGCAGAGACAUUACUUUGCCAACAAAGGUCCAUUUAGUCAAGGCUAUGGUUUUUCCAGCAGUCAUGUAUGGAUGUGAGAGUUGGACUGUGAAGAAAGCUGAGCGCCGAAGAAUUGAUGCUUUUGAACUGUGGUGUUGGAGAAGACUCUUGAGAGUCCCUUGGACUGCAAGGAGAUCCAACCAGUCCAUCCUAAAGGAGAUCAGUCCUGGGUGUUCAUUGGAAGGACUGAUGCUAAAGCUGAAACUCCAAUACUUUGGUCACCUCAUGCGAAGAGUUGACUCAUUGGAAAAGACCCUGAUGCUGGGAAGGAUUGAGGGCUGA
rnacentral:lncRNA from 1 species